rnacentral:rRNA from 1 species
AUUGAACGCUGGCGGCAGGCCUAACACAUGCAAGUCGAGCGGAUGAAGGGAGCUUGCUCCUGGAUUCAGCGGCGGACGGGUGAGUAAUGCCUAGGAAUCUGCCUGGUAGUGGGGGAUAACGUCCGGAAACGGGCGCUAAUACCGCAUACGUCCUGAGGGAGAAAGUGGGGGAUCUUCGGACCUCACGCUAUCAGAUAAGCCUAGGUCGGAUUAGCUAGUUGGUGGGGUAAAGGCCUACCAAGGCGACGAUCCGUAACUGGUCUGAGAGGAUGAUCAGUCACACUGGAACUGAGACACGGUCCAGACUCCUACGGGAGGCAGCAGUGGGGAAUAUUGGACAAUGGGCGAAAGCCUGAUCCAGCCAUGCCGCGUGUGUGAAGAAGGUCUUCGGAUUGUAAAGCACUUUAAGUUGGGAGGAAGGGCAGUAAGUUAAUACCUUGCUGUUCUGACGUUACCAACAGAAUAAGCACCGGCUAACUUCGUG